GGCUCAGGACGAACGCUGGCGGCGUGCUUAACACAUGCAAGUCGAACGGUGAUGUCAGAGCUUGCUCUGGCGGAUCAGUGGCGAACGGGUGAGUAACACGUGAGUAACCUGCCCCCGACUCUGGGAUAACUGCUAGAAAUGGUAGCUAAUACCGGAUAUGAYGAUUGGCCGCAUGGUCUGGUCGUGGAAAGAAUUUCGGUUGGGGAUGGACUCGCGGCCUAUCAGGUUGUUGGUGAGGUAAUGGCUCACCAAGCCUACGACGGGUAGCCGGCCUGAGAGGGUGACCGGCCACACUGGGACUGAGACACGGCCCAGACUCCUACGGGAGGCAGCAGUGGGGAAUAUUGCACAAUGGGCGCAAGCCUGAUGCAGCAACGCCGCGUGAGGGAUGACGGCCUUCGGGUUGUAAACCUCUUUUAGUAGGGAAGAAGCGAAAGUGACGGUAC
rnacentral:rRNA from 1 species